AGUUUAUUGUGCAAAACUUCGCAUGGCGUGCAUAAGGAAUCUCUGUGUGUGCUGCUGCGGUUGUUGGCAUGCACUGUGUGCGGUCGAUUUCGGAUUUCUCUGGCGAGCGUCCCGUUAUGGGGACAUCUGUUCCAUCCAAUCUUCCGGAGGCCCCAGUUCUUCUGCUAUUACCCUGUUCCCCAGUUCCCCUCGCUUAUCCAGGAGUUUCACGUCCACCACCUGUUCCGAAUCAUCCUGUUCUACCACCGAUUCUGAAGGUUCCAGCGAUUCGGAACCUUCCAGAACCACCACUCCGGCUGAACUUCUAGGCUUCUUCGCAUCUCCUGAACCUUCCAGGCCCUUCCUUCGAUGCUUCGCAGUACUUGGUGCCUCCCUUCACGAUAUACUGCGCAUAUGCAUGCUCAUAAUGCCACAUGGAAUGCGUGCCUUGUUGCCGUCCCGGCUCCGUUCAUGGCUAAACAUGUAAGGGGAACCCUGGCGGCAGUGUCUUUGAAGACGACGGCUGGCUACUGAAUGGCGAAAAACAAGAAGCGAAAUCCGGGUCAUCACUCAAAUGACGAAGUGUAGCUGUUCUUAUUUGCAUUUGGAAAUUUGAGUAGUUCAAAUUCCGCAAUUACAAUUUUACCCUACCUCCCUGCGAACCAGUCCUGUGGACCGUAGAAUUAAAUAAACGCCAUUUUGUGUAAACUUU